rnacentral:lncRNA from 1 species
CUCCGUUUUAGAUUCAUCCUCCUUUCGUAAUGAAGUAUUUGCAUCUCCCUCUUUAACCAUCUAACCCUCGAUUUUUGGUGCGGAGACAUCUCUUGAAGCCUCAGAGCUUUAUUAUAUUCAUCAACUUUCCUGGAUAAAGUAAUUCGCAGUUGGAUUUCUGGGCCUCCUCACCAAAUAUCUUCUUUUUGAAAUUGCUUAAUUUGUAUUUCUGGUCGUUCAAUUUUUUCAAACAAGUUUCUAGCAUAUUCUUUAUCCCAUUUAUGUAAAGCUGAUUUUUAUAUUUUUUUUAAUAAUUUGAUAACUCUGAUAUCAUGGAAACAUUGGCUUGAGUUUUGCAAGCUCUUCUCACUACAUUUGCAAUUCCUUUGCAAGAAAACCAGAAUUUCUCAAAUUCAAAUGGUUUCAAUUUGACGGACAUUCGGGCUUCAAGCCAUGGAAGAAGUGGAUUGUGACUGGAGUUGAUUCUAGUGAGAUACUGAACUAUAUAGCCUCAGGAAACAUUGCUAUUCAGUCCAAGGUGGUCAAAGAUCUACUCAAUCUUUCCCAUACAUGCCCCACUCCAAGCCUAUUAUUACACGAGAUAUGGGGCUACACCAAUGAACCUCAAAUGAAUUAAUCCAUUCCUUAUAAUAAACUCUUGAAAUUCUGCUAUGUACUUGUUCUCAUUGUAUUUUUACCAUUCUUUUUCUCAUCACUGGAGCUUAUAAUGUCGAAAUCCCAAAUCAGUACAAUUAAAAUUCCAACAGCUUUACCAUUUGCCACCAAAUCCCAAUCAAUAUGUCUUUACUUUCUACAUGUGCUAGCAUAAACUACUCCCAACAUUCAAGGAUUAUAACCAUUGAUGGAAAUUAUUCCAGAGGGAGCUUGCUUAUUCAUUAAAAGUCUAUAUUCUGCAGUUGUUUCUUUUAUAACACCAUGAUUCCACCUUACAAACCUUCAAAUUGAAUGAC